rnacentral:misc_RNA from 1 species
UUUUCAUCUUCAACCUACUACCGAGCUAAUUAAAUCAAUAAUGGAAUGAAAUAAUUUUUCAUAAAAUACAUGAGAAAUUCUACGAAAAGUUAAUUAACCCAGAUAUGCAUCGAUUUCUUUUUUACCAUGCUUUUCCUACAUAUAUAAUGUUGUUUGUUUUCCAUUCUGAACAAGCGGAAUGUUUCGAUGACAUUUUUUUCAUUAUUGUUCAAGAUUAAUCUAUUAUUUCAGCUGUACAAAAAAGAACAUGAAAUAUAGUUAAUGUUGAACAUGUGGCGAAGAAUCACAACAGAGGUAAAAGAAAUUUUACUUUCUUCUCUUUUGGAAACUCUUCUGCAUAACUUCAUUAGUUCAUUUCCAAGAAAUCAAAUAACAAUGAAAUACGUACAUGAUGAUUUAAUAAUAAUUACUAAAAAAAAAAAUAAAUAAAUAAAAGGAGAAGCAAGAGUAUCUGGAGAAGGUGUAAAUGGGAUAAAGUGAUUUAAAUGCAAUACACGUAAGAAAGCAUUUGUGGUGGGAGUGGAAGGACGAGUGAAAGAUAAGAUUUAACAUAAUCCACACCUUUGUCCUAAAAAAUGGAAUUAUCAAUAAAUUAACUAAUUAAUAAUUACUGGACACGUUAUUUCUG